rnacentral:rRNA from 1 species
UUACUACUUGGAUAACGUGGUAAUCUAGAGCUAAUACAUGCUAAAAUCCCGACUUCGGAGGGAUGUAUUUAUUAGAUUAAAAACCAAUGCCCUUCGGGGCUCUCUGGUGAUUCAUGAUAACUUCUCGAAUCGCAUGGCCUUGGCGCCGGCGAUGGUUCAUUCAAAUUUCUGCCCCUAUCAACUUUCGACGGCUGGGUCUUGGCCAGCCAUGGUGAUCAACGGGUAACGGAGAGUUAGGGCUCGACUCCGGAGAAGGAGCCUGAGAAACGGCUACCACAUCCAAGGAAGGCAGCAGGCGCGCAAAUUACCCAAUCCCGACACGGUGAGGUAGUGACAAUAAAUACUGAUACAGGGCUCUUUUGGGUCUUGUAAUUGGAAUGAGUACAAUUUAAAUCCCUUAACGAGGAACAAUUGGAGGGCAAGUCUGGUGCCAGCAGCCGCGGUAAUUCCAGCUCCAAUAGCGUAUAUUAAAGUUGUUGCGGUUAAAAAGCUCGUAGUUGAACCUUGGGCCUGGCUGGCCGGUCCGCCUCACCGCGUGUACUGGUCCGGCCGGGCCUUUCCCUCUGGGGAACCGCAUGCCCUUCACUGGGUGUGCCGGGGAACCAGGACUUUUACUUUGAAAAAAUUAGAGUGUUCAAAGCAGGCCUAUGCUCGAAUACAUUAGCAUGGAAUAAUAGAAUAGGACGUGCGGUUCUAUUUUGUUGGUUUCUAGGACCGCCGUAAUGAUUAAUAGGGAUAGUCGGGGGCAUCAGUAUUCAAUUGUCAGAGGUGAAAUUCUUGGAUUUAUUGAAGACUAACUACUGCGAAAGCAUUUGCCAAGGAUGUUUUCAUUAAUCAGUGAACGAAAGUUAGGGGAUCGAAGACGAUCAGAUACCGUCGUAGUCUUAACCAUAAACUAUGCCGACUAGGGAUCUGACGAUGUUAUUUUUUUGACUCGCUUGGCACCUU